ensembl:rRNA 5S_rRNA 5S ribosomal RNA
GCCAGCAGCCAUAUCACCCUGCAACUCACAACUGGUAGUCCACUGAAGCUAAGCAGGUGUGAGCCUGGUCAGUACCUAGAUGGGAGACGACCUGGAAAAAACUAAGGUUGCUGCUGGAA